rnacentral:lncRNA from 1 species
GCGGCUGUUGGACGUGGUGUAUCGGUUGCUAAGGCGCGGUCUUGAGGGCUGUAGUCGGGCCGUGAACGUCAUCUCCAUCCACUAAUCGAGUUAUCCAGCGCCUCUCAUCGAAAGAUCAGGCCAAAAACCCUAGCGGGCUCGCAUCAGUUGGUAUCAGAGCAAGGUUCUUCGGUGAGAGACUUCUAAUCCUUUGCUGAUUUUAAUUAAUUUCCUAUAGUCUAGAAAAGCCAAAAAAAUAUAGUAGAUUAGUUUUUCCAUAAUCCUAUUAAACCUUUGUGCCUUGGAUAGUACCGUUUUAGUUAGGGCUUGUUGAAUUUGCGUUGCUUCGGUUUGUGUCGAGUUGCUGGUCUUAGUGUCUAGUCCUUUAGAGUUUCGAGUUCUUGUCACCCUCUAUACACAGCUGAGUAUUACCAUAUCUUCUCUCUGUCGAAUCUGUUGCGAAGUCUGAAUUGAACUGUGGUCUUGGUCUGGAUCGAGUAGAGUUCCAAUCUGAGUUCAAAAAGAAAGAUAACUCUACUUGUUCGGCCUUACUCUAGAGAGAGAGAGAGAGAGAGAGUGGAGCGAAAAAAGUGUGUGGAGCGAAUUGCUCUUUUGUAUUCUUUUGUUCAUAUAAUCAGUUUUUGAGGUUGCCCAAAAAAAAAGAAAAAAAAAUAAAAAAAAGAAAAGAGAAAAGAUUCAAAAAAAAGGGGCUGUUUUUCAUAUUGAUUUUAGGUUUGUCCCACCUUGUUUUCGGGGGUGUGCUGUGGUUUUCCUUUGUGUCCAGGCUCGCGUCUCUAGCACGGUCUAGCCUAGGACCAGCACAGUACCAUCGUCGAACGCUUAUUCAGCUCGCUUUUAUAACUAAUGUGGUGCUAGUUCAUUCCUUGUUUCAGCCCACCUAUAGCUCCACAUACUCUACAGCUUGACAGGUCUUGUGCUGCAGCACCGAUACACUUCGUCCAUUGCUGUACACUUGUUGCCAGACGACCCCUCCUGUCAAGCAAGGUAAGAAUUGGUAAGAACUUGUGUUACAGGUUGAGUGUGAGCGACUUGCUGUAGCUACAUCCUAGUAGUUGUAGGGCUUUUAUUUCUUCACUUGCCUUUUUGUUGUCUUUGUCUUUGAACCAUGCCAGGGGCAGAUGAUGGUAACGAAACACCACUUACACCUCGCACUAAGGGCAUCAUACAACAUUUUGAAAGGAAAGUGAAGCUGCACACAGAGGGACUUGAUAACGACUUGCAGGUGACGAAUGAAAAGCUGGGGCAGUUGGAGGCUACGCAGAUUGCCACAAACAACAAGCUCACAAGUUUGGAGGAAUCCGUUGCUAGUGUGGACAAAAGCCUUGCUGCUCUCCUAAGGCGAUUUGAUGCUUUCCACACCGAAGAUAAAGAGAAGCAUAAAGAAGAAAAGGAGGGAGAUCGAGAGCACGGUAGUCAUGAAGAUGACUACACUGGUGAUACUGAACAUGAUGAUCAAGACACUCGUGAUCGACGUCGCCUUCGUCACAACCGUAGAGGUAUGGGUGGCAACCGCCGACGCGAGGUACACAAUAAUGAUGAUGCUUUCAGUAAGAUUAAAUUUAAGAUACCCCCUUUUGAUGGUAAAUAUGACCCUGAUGCUUACAUCACUUGGGAGAUUGCUGUUGAUCAAAAGUUUGCAUGUCAUGAAUUUCCUGAGACUACACGUGUUAGGGCUGCUACUAGUGAGUUUACAGAUUUUGCUUCUCUUUGGUGGAUAGAAUAUGGAAAGAAAAAUCCUAAUAACUUACCUAGAACUUGGGAUGCGCUGAAAAGGGCCAUGAGAGCUAGAUUUGUUCCAUCUUACUAUUCGCGUGAUAUGAUAAAUAAGUUGCAGCAGUUAAGACAAGGUGCUAAAAGUGUAGAAGAAUAUUAUCAGGAAUUACAAACGGGUAUGUUGCGUUGUAACCUAGAGGAGGAUGAGGAACCGGCUAUGGCUAGAUUUUUGGGUGGGUUAAAUCGUGAAAUCCAGGACAUUCUUGCUUAUAAAGAUUAUACUAACAUAACCCGUUUGUUUCAUCUUGCUUGUAAAGCUGAAAGGGAAGUGCAGGGACGACGUGCUAGCGCAAGGAGUAAUAUUUCUGCAGGGAAGGCUAAUUCAUGGCAGCAACGCGUGGCUUCAACUCCAUCUACACGUAUUUCUACUCCAUCAUCUGGUGACAAGACUCGAGCUGCCCCCACCAAUUCAGUUGCGAAGACGAUGCAAAAGCCUGCUGCGAGUACUUCAUCCGUGGCAUCGACGGGUAGAACAAGCAACAUACAAUGUCACCGGUGCAAGGGACAUGGGCACAUGAUGCGUGACUGUCCAAACAAGCGAGUUAUGAUUGUCAGGGAUGAUGGUGAGUACUCAUCUGCUAGUGAUUUUGAUGAGGAUACACUUGCACUGCUUGCGACUGACCAUGCAGGUAAUGAAGAUCAAAUAGAAGAACAUAUUAAUGCAGGUGAAGCGGACCACUAUGAGAGCUUGAUCGUGCAGCGAGUGCUUAGUGCACAAAUGGAGAUGGCGGAACAAAAUCAGCGACACAUUUUAUUCCAAACAAAGUGUGUCAUCAAAGAGCGUUCUUGUCGCAUGAUCAUUGAUGGAGGUAGCUGCAACAACUUGGCAAGCAGCGAUAUGGUGCAGAAGCUUGCCCUCAACACCAAACCACACCCGCAUCCCUACUACAUCCAAUGGCUGAACAACAGUGGUAAGGCAAAGGUAACUAGACUUGUGAGAAUUAAUUUUUCCAUCGGAUCCUACAAAGAUAUUGUUGAAUGUGAUGUUGUGCCUAUGCAAGCUUGUAACAUUCUGCUAGGUAGACCUUGGCAAUUUGAUAGAGAUUCUAUGCAUCAUGGUAGAUCAAAUCAGUAUUCUUUUCUAUACCAUGAUCGCAAAAUUGUGUUGCAUCCUAUGUCCCCUGAAACUAUUAUGCAAACUGAUGUUGCUAGGGCUACUAAAGCAAAGAGCAAGAGCAAUAAAAAUGAUAAAUCUGUAAUUGGUAACAAAGAUGAGAUAAAACUGAAAGGACGUUGUAUGAUAGCUACCAAAUCAGAUAUCAAUGAGUUCAAUGCAUCCACUUCUGUUGCUUAUGCUUUGAUAUGCAAGGAUGCUUUGAUUUCAGUUGAGGAUAUGCAAUGUUCUUUGCCCCUGCUGUUGCUAACGUUUUGCAGGAGUAUUCUGAUGUGUUUCCAAGUGAUGUACCAGCGGGGCUGCCUCCACUACGCGGGAUUGAGCACCAAAUUGAUCUUAUUCCUGGAUCAGUUUUGCCAAAUCGUGCACCAUACAGGACAAAUCCGGAGGAAACAAAGGAAAUUCAGCGACAAGUGCAAGAACUACUAGACAAAGGUUAUGUCCGAGAAUCUCUUAGUCCUUAUGCUGUUCCAGUAAUUUUAGUGCCUAAGAAAGAUCGAACAUGGCGUAUGUGUGUUGAUUGUAGAGCUAUUAAUAAUAUCACCAUUCGAUAUCGACACCCUAUUCCACGAUUAGAUGAUAUGCUAGAUGAACUGAGUGGUGCUGUUGUGUUUUCAAAAGUUGAUUUACGUAGUGGGUACCACCAGAUUCGUAUGAAAUUGGGAGAUAAAGGUAGAAAGCAAUUGAUUCUGGAACCUGGGGAUUUGGUUUGGUUGCAUUUGCGAAAAGAUAGAUUUCCAGAACUGAGAAAAUCCAAAUUGAUGCCUAGAGCUGAUGGUCCUUUUAAAGUGCUGCAACGAAUUAAUGAGAAUGCAUAUAAGCUUGAUCUUCCUGCAGAUUUUGGGGUUAGUCCCACAUUUAACAUUGCAGAUUUGAAGCCUUAUUUGGGUGAGGAAGAUGAGCUUGAGUCGAGGACGACUCAAAUGCAAGAAAGGGAGGAUGAUGAGGAUAUCAACACCAGCGAUACAUAUCCUACAUCCACCAGCGAUACAUAUCCUACAUCCACCAGCGAUACAUAUCCUACAUCCUCUCCGACACAACCUAUAGCUGGUCCUCUUACUCGUGCUCGUGCCCGUCAACUCAACCUUCAAGUAAGUUCAGCUUUAAACUCUUGUCAAUCAUAUUUAGACAAUGGAGACACGUGCACUUUGGUGUUGCUCAGGAAUAAUGGACAAGAUCAGCAAGGGAAGGUUCAACUGCAUUCAGAAUUUGAGGCAACACCAACUUCAAGGGCUGAUUGCAUAUGGGAAGAGUGAUAACUUAACAAAGGUGAUUGGAGAUCAGGUCCAAGCCUCCACAACGUCCUCUGUCAAGUUACCACGUCGUUUCUAAAGCAAGGAAACAAAGAGUCCAAACCCAACACGUUUUGGGAGUUGGAUUCGGACUGGAAAAUAACUCUAACUUGUAUGGAUCACCACGGCGUCAUAUGGACUCCAACUGGGACGUUCCUAUACUUGUUGGAAAGCUCAUGAAGUCUACUUUCCAAUGGGUCCAACCACAUAUCUAUGCGGCUUAUGAGUCGGGCGCAGUCCUUGUUUUCGUGCCGACACCUUUUUCUGUUUUGGUGCUGCGUCACCCUAUUUUGGACCAAUGGCCCAUGUAUCAAGUUGAGUCCAUUAGGGACGCGUCCUAGGGUUGGAGGACGACUCUAGCACCCUUUUGGUCGUCCUCCCCUCUAUUUAUUUACAUCUAGAGCCGCCAUGAACAACUGGGUUUUGUUUAGAUCAAGUUUAGCCUUCGCUACUUGCUUGUAGGCGCGCGUGCAGGAUCAGCCGCCCGUCUCCUUGUCUUCGGAACCCCAUUGUUGAUUAAGAUUCAGUUUAAAACCUUCAAUUCAUCUUGCAAAUUCAGUGCUUGUUUCCUCGUUCUUGCUAGUUCUUCGAUUGCUUGCAGGACGGGAGCCCUAGGGGCUGGUUGUCGCGCUCCACAAGAUCAUGACGGCUGUUGGACGUGGUGUAUCGGUUGCUAAGGCGCGGUCUUGAGGGCUGUAGUCGGGCCGUGAACGUCAUCUCCAUCCACUAAUCGAGUUAUCCAGCGCCUCUCAUCGAAAGAUCAGGCCAAAAACCCGAGCGGGCUCGCAUCAGUUGGUAUCAGAGCAAGGUUCUUCGGUGAGAGACUUCUAAUCCUUUGCUGUUUUUAAUUAAUUUCCUAUAGUCCAG